AUACGAAGGGGGCAAGCGUUGUUCGGAAUAACUGGGCGUAAAGCGCACGUAGGCGGAAUGUUAAGUUAGAGGUGAAAUCCCAGGGCUCAACCCUGGAACGGCCUUUAAUACUGGCAAUCUAGAGACCGAGAGAGGUGAGUGGAUUUCCGAGUGUAGAGGUGAAAUUCGUAGAUAUUCGGAGGAACACCAGUGGCGAAGGCGGCUCACUGGCUCGGUACUGACGCUGAGGUGCGAAAGCGUGGGUAGCAAACGGGAUUAGAAACCCUAGUAGUCC
rnacentral:rRNA from 1 species